GGAACUGUAGCUUAAUUGGUAGAGUGACCGGUUGAAGCCCGGUAGGCGGUGGUUCAAUUCCAUCCGGUUCCA
rnacentral:tRNA from 1 species